ensembl:lncRNA
AUUAGUGACUGCUUAUCUGCACCUGGAGUGGUGCUGGAGUCUCGCUUUCUGAAAAGGAGCCUCAGGUCUUCCAGAGGUUCUCAAGAAUAGCUUUCUUCCUAGUCCUGUGAAAAUUCUAGUGACCUUCUCCCAGUGAUCCCUGUAACACCUACUGCAGUCACGGUGGUGGAGAAAGAAAGUUGGAUUCACCUUGCUAGGAUAAACCCAGCCCCACAUGAACUGUGUGAAGACAAAGAUCACCCAGAGAAGAAAGCAGCUCCUCUCCUCCUCCUCCUCAAAAAGGUCUCAUUAUGUCGUCUAGGCUGGCCUCAAACUCAUGGCGAGCCUCCUGCCUCAGCCUCCUGAGUGCUAGAAUAUAGACGUGCACCACCACCACGCCUGGCUUGGAAAAAACCUGCUUCCCGGUGCCUCAGAAUGUGCCUGUGUUGGAGUUAAAGAGAUUGUUCACCACCAUGGCAUUCCUUAACCACAAUGUACGAGGUCUUUUCCUGUUGCUAGUAACACAAUACCAGAAUAGGCUUUCACAUAAGGACAAGCGAGGAGCCCAACUGGAAGAAGACGGAAGACAGAAAGACUGCACAGGCAGCUCACCCUGGAGAGCUGGGCUCUCUCUUCCCCUACACUUCGCAUCAUAAAGUGAAAUAAAGGCUUAGUUGCCUGGCCUGGUAGGGCAGGCCUGUGCUCCCAGCAUUCCGCCUGAAGCAGGAGGAGCCUCCUUCCAGAGUGCUUGGAUCACAGGUGUGCACCACCACCCCUGGCCUCAGAGCUGUUCUGCAACCAGAGAGGGGCUCGUGACUCCGGCCCAGCUCCCCUCAUGGCUCUGGGUGGACAACACAGACAGGCCUAGGGUGGGGACCGCCACCCCUGGCUAGCAAUUCCAGGGUGGUCUCCAGGGAGCCGGCGGCUCACAGGCCUGGGAGCAGAGUCUUCCUGGAGCCCAGUCCCCAGGGGUCUCCUUCUGUACCCCAGGAUGGCCUUGAACUCAAGGCUAUCCUCCUGCCUCAGCAUCCAGAAUGCAGAGAUUGCAGAUGCGUGCCACCACGCCCGCGUGCCAGAGAAGUGGUCUCUAGCCUGAGGCGAUCAGCAGCCCCUACAGAGAACAAGAGCCACCCAGAGUGGGGGCAUCAGAGCCCCGAGACUUGGCUAGAACCUUCCCUGGACAGAAUCUUCGUUCUGUGUGGGGAGGGAGGUUGAGACAACAGGCACUAAGGUAGGCACACGGAGGAGCACCCGGGCCCUGCUAUUCAGGAACAAAAGGACAUGCAGCACAAACUUGGGCCCUCAGUGCCCUUAGUAUUGUACAUAGGUAAGUUAAUUAGUUAUCUUGUAGGCAGUUAGACAGGAGCCACCCUCACGGAGCCAACACAGCGAGGAGCCAACAUGGAGGACAACUGAGGCACAUUAACUGGUUAGCAUUAUAAAGAGAAGAGAAGUGGGCCGGGGAUUUAGCUCAGUGGUUCUGCCUCCUGCCCCGCAAGUGCAAGGAUCAGACUUUGAUCCCCGGUACCAAAAAAAAAAAAAAAAAAAAAAAAAAAAAAAAAAAAGAAGAAGAGCUCUACUUCCCCUAGAGAUAGCAGUGAUUGAUAUUCCAAAUGGGAAACUUCUCGUAUGUGACUUGUUUUCCCAUUUGAUCCCCAUUUAAUCAGUAUUACCUGGGUCACUGUACUGAAGGACCCUUGUUAGCAAGACAGACUCCAUAUUGCUGCUUGACCCACCUGCCUACCCUUUAGAUGAACUCAGAAGGAGGAAACUUAAAAACCUCCUCCCCUUGGAGAGUCUCUUUAGAAAUAACAGUUAAUCAACUAUUGUUUUAUAAAUGUUCUAACAGCAGGACGUUCUGCUUCUGUACCUUUUGAUUGCUUUACUAGUUCUAUCCCUUAGGGGGCCCUAGAAACUGUAGGCCUCAAAGGUGUAUAAAAUAUGUUAAUCUUCCCCCAGUUGGGCUGAAGUCCGCUGCUCGGUCCCGGCUGGUAAUAAACUCCUGUGUGGAUUUAA